rnacentral:tRNA from 1 species
GCGGGAGUAACUCAGUUGGCAGAGUGCCACCUUCCCAAGGUGGAUGUCGCGGGUUCGAGCCCCGUCUCCCGCUCCA